GUGAAAUUGGGUUUGAGUUGGUAAUGCAAGUAGAGUUUAAGCGAUUUAUUUUUGUCGAGUUGGGAACUUGGGAUUCUAAGCACAUGUUCAGUCUUCUCGGAAAAAGAGUUCACGGAAGGAUGGAGGUGUGACAGUUCCAGAGAGAGUCUGCUUUGGAGGAGGCUGGUGCAAUGGAUGCGGUCUUGGUGAAUACACAUCAGACAGAGGAGAAGUAUCGCCUCUAUGAGAAUACAUUAGAGGAGCAUGUCAGCACAUGUGACAGCAUCCUGAAGCAAUUAAGGCUGCAAUUUUUUUUGUUUCUUUAUGUUGAAAAAAAUCUGUACAGACGUAUACACCUUUGCCCUUUCAGUUUUAACCUUUUAAAGUGCAUCUCUACAGGUUGAUGAUACAUUGAACUUGUUUGAAGAACUACAGUCCUUGCACUCGAGUGUUGCCACGAAGACUAAAACUUUGCAUGAUGCUUGCGGCCAACUGGGAGCAUGUUUAUGUAUCCAUUCUGAUCAUUUCAUUAUGUUUGUGGAGAAAUAGGGGGCUACUUUUGUGCAAAGCUGAGCAAAUUCGUAGGAGAAUCUGAUGGAGCUGAUGAUCUUGGUCCCGCUGCAAAUAUUAUGGGAUCCUCAAUGAAGCGAACUAAUAUCAAAAUUUAAUUUGGAGGCAUUUAUGGAAUCAGAGUUUUAGUUUGGUAUUAUCUGAUUUAAUCUCGGCGCAUUCGAUGAUGCUACCAAUAUUGUUUGCAUAUCACUAUGACAGUAUCGAGUGUGCACCAUAUCCUGAUUUGGCAUCAUAAGGAUGCUGUUAGAAGUGAGAUAUUGAAUGGAAUAUUUGGUGGCAAAAAUAAUUGAGGUGUGGCGACCUGCUCGCCCUUCCGGCCCAGUUCCGCGCUGUGGUACCGAAUGGACAACGCCAUUUGGUGAAGAUGACCCUUGGUAUGGAACCUCUCAUAUUUAACGGUCAUGUAUGUUAACUCACAUGCGGUGCUAAUUUUUAUUUACUGGCGAAGUGGCUAAUUUGUAAAAUUAUGAUUGUGAUUUCACUAUUUCACAACUGUUCAUGUUGGACUCAUGGUAUCUUGAAAAAGUA